rnacentral:lncRNA from 1 species
CUUAAGCUCAUCCUUGAACCCAUCCCUGUACCUAGGGAUUUGAGUGGCUCUGAUUGGCCAGCCCCCAGAACAUGUGUCCACCUCUGGUCCAGUCAUGUGGCUGAGGGGUUUCAGCACGAAAAAGAGUCAGUUCUGGUUCCUGUGUUCCAGCCCUAAAGACUGCAAAAGCCAAGUCAAACCAAAUCCUCAGAGGGGUAGGAAGAGCAGAAGGCUGAUGCCGAGAAAGCAGGUGAUCAGUGUGAAGUACAGAUCUACAGCUAAGUCAAGAAACAUUGUUCCUGGUGGUGAAAUGGGACAGUGAGUGCUCCAUAAUCCCUGUGAAAUAACUUUGAGACUGUGACAUCAAAAGAUAAGAGUGGAAUUAAGUAUGUAUCAUAGAAAGAGUGACAGCAUGAUGCUUUACCUACUUUAAGCAAAUAUGUGUAUGUUUCCUAACUAAUGUGAUAGGUUGCAUGCUAUCUCUUAUAGUGGGCAUUUUUCAAUAACUCCCAAGCAAAUCUCUUUGACUCCAGCCCUCCUCCUUCAUAUCACUCCCAUGUGAAGGGUAGAACAAUCUUUCCUACAGCACAGCUCUGAUAAGACUGCCUUCUGCUCCAAUAAUUUUAAUACCCAGAGAAGAAAGCCCAUGGUAGAUCUCAUGGUAGAUCCCACCCCUCAAAUUCUUUCCUCAAACUUCACUUUUACUCUUUUAAUUUUUUAUGUUUAAACAUAAAUUGAAAUUUUAUGUAUUAAAAAUUUCAAUACAUAGAAAAGUUCAGAGAAAACUGUAACAGGCAUUGAAGUGCCCACAACCAUUUUAGACUGUUAUUUAGUUUGCCAUGUUUGUGUCAUAUCUGUGUUUAAAGAGCGCCUUAGAGGUGCAGGAGGAGCAGUCUGCUGUCCUGCCCCCCACAUGGCGUUCAGUUUCAUCCUUCUCUCUGUGCCCUUAAGGAAAUUACUAUCCUGAAAUUAUUCUGUGUCCUCCCACCCAAGUUUAUAUGUUUUUGCUAAUUAUAUGUGUCUAUAGUCACUACCUAGUAUUACUCAAGGAGACAAAGUGUAUGUAUCAUAUUCCAACUUGCUUUUUAAGAUUCAAUAUUUUUGAGACUUCAUGUUGAUGAUGUAGAACUAAUUCAUUUAUUUCAACUGAUGUAUUAUAUUCCCAUGUAUGGC